GACGAACGCUGGCGGCGUGCUUAACACAUGCAAGUCGAACGGAAAGGCCCUGCUUUUGUGGGGUGCUCGAGUGGCGAACGGGUGAGUAACACGUGAGUAACCUGCCCUUGACUUUGGGAUAACUUCAGGAAACUGGGGCUAAUACCGGAUAGGAGCUCCUGCUGCAUGGUGGGGUUGGAAAGUUUUCGGCGGUUGGGGAUGGACUCGCGGCUUAUCAGCUUGUUGGUGGGGUAGUGGCUUACCAAGGCUUUGACGGGUAGCCGGCCUGAGAGGGUGACCGGCCACAUUGGGACUGAGAUACGGCCCAGACUCCUACGGGAGGCAGCAGUGGGGAAUAUUGCACAAUGGGCGGAAGCCUGAUGCAGCAACGCCGCGUGCGGGAUGACGGCCUUCGGGUUGUAAACCGCUUUCGCCUGUGACGAAGCGUGAGUGACGGUAAUGGGUAAAGAAGCACCGGCUAACUACGUG
rnacentral:rRNA from 1 species